UUGUUUAUGAACGAGGACCUUCUUGGACCUCAAGAAGAAUGAGGACCUUCCUAAUGUUUCACGCUUGGUCCCGACCCUUUCAACGAAUGUUUGUGAACUCAGUGCGGUUCGCUUAAUUGUCUGUGCAGUGUGAACACUCCAAAGGAACUCAGACCCAUCAAAGGCCCCAAAAGCGAAACGAACUGAGCGUUCGCUUGAAUUCCGCGAUCGGGGGCCUGUUGCACAAAAGUAGAAUUAAGACAUCCGGGAUAAAUGACUCAGCUGAGCUCAAUGAAGCCAAAACAUGUGCGUCCAGGCUUAAUUGGUUGCACAAAGACCAAGCCAGGAUGAGCAGACACGGAUUCAUUAAGCCAGGUGAAACCAAUCCUGGAUAGGUGCGCGCUCACGGCUCACUCAAAUAGACCCCGCCACAGAUCACAGAUUAACUGAUUUACCAUGGCAACUAGAGCCGCGUACUUUUCCCCGUCGGAAGCACAAAUCCUCAUGGAGGCAUACGAGGAGGUAAAAUAUAUAAUUAAGAAGAAAGGCAACACCGCCACAGUGAUAAAGCAAAGAGAAAAAGCGUGGCAAAGUAUUGCAGACCGCCUGAAUGCAUUAAACAUGAACGGGCCAAAACGGACAUGGCAGCAGGUCAAAAUCAAAUACAAGAACAUUCUGCAGAAUGCAGUGAAAAAGAAUACCCACAGACAAGGCACGGGUGGU